GACGAACGCUGGCGGCGUGCCUAAUACAUGCAAGUCGAGCGGACUUUCAAGAAGCUUGCUUUUUGAAAGUUAGCGGCGGACGGGUGAGUAACACGUGGGCAACCUGCCUGCAAGACGGGGAUAACUCCGGGAAACCGGGGCUAAUACCGGAUAAUAUCUUCCUUCGCAUGAAGGAAGGUUGAAAGGCGGCGCAAGCUGCCGCUUGCAGAUGGGCCCGCGGCGCAUUAGCUAGUUGGUGAGGUAACGGCUCACCAAGGCGACGAUGCGUAGCCGACCUGAGGGGGUGGUCGGCCACACUGGGACUGGGACACGGCCCAGACUCCUACGGGAGGCAGCAGUAGGGAAUCUUCCGCAAUGGACGAAAGUCUGACGGAGCAACGCCGCGUGAGCGAAGAAGGUCUUCGGAUCGUAAAGCUCUGUUGUCAGGGAAGAACAAGUACCGUUCGAACAGGGCGGUACCUUGACGGUACCUGACCAGAAAGCCACGGCUAACUACGUG
rnacentral:rRNA from 1 species